UACGUAGGGGGCUAGCGUUGCUCGGAAUCACUGGGCGUAAAGCGCACGUAGGCGGCUUUCUAAGUCAGGGGUGAAAUCCUGGAGCUCAACUCCAGAACUGCCUUUGAUACUGGGAAGCUCGAGUCCGGAAGAGGUGAGUGGAACUCCGAGUGUAGAGGUGAAAUUCGUAGAUAUUCGGAAGAACACCAGUGGCGAAGGCGGCUCACUGGUCCGGUACUGACGCUGAGGUGCGAAAGCGUGGGGAGCAAACAGG
rnacentral:rRNA from 1 species